GCUUUCCUAGCUCAGUUGGUAGAGCAUUAGACUUUUAAUCUAAUGGUCGGGGGUUCGAGCCCCCCGGAGAGCG